rnacentral:rRNA from 1 species
UACAGAGGUGGCAAGCGUUGUUCGGAAUUACUGGGCGUAAAGGGCGCGUAGGCGGUUGCCUAAGUCGGACGUGAAAUCCCCAAGCUUAACUUGGGAACUGCAUCCGAUACUGGGUAACUUGAGUUCAGGAGAGGAAUGUGGAAUUCCAGGUGUAGCGGUGAAAUGCGUAGAUAUCUGGAGGAACACCGGUGGCGAAGGCGGCAUUCUGGACCGAAACUGACGCUGAGGCGCGAAAGCCAGGGGAGCAAACGGG